CCCGGCUGGGCGGGUUCCCGUGCCGCCCGCAGCAUCGGCCCCUCGGGGCUGUCGAGCUGGCCUCGGCGAGCAACCAGGGCCCCCUUCCAGCCUCACAGGAGUCAGCCGCGAGCCGCCGGCAGCCCGGGCCUAGGACCCAGAGGCCUGCUAAGCCUGGGCUCCAAGCCCGCUGUUGUGCAGCGCGGCGCAGCUCAGGCCCCAGCCGUAAAAGGCCAAGGCUCAUCAAACGUCUAGGGAGUGAAACCUAUGUUCUUCAGUAGAUGCGUGAGGUUUCAGGAAGAAUACAGUUUUCUCAAGGCUGAGGUUGCAUACUAUGGACAAGAUAGGCAGCUGAUGUAAAUCAGUGCAAUUACAUUACCUUUAACUACAUCGGUUUACAAAAAUUGAGGGUCCAGCUCUACAUGUGCUGCAAACUAAGCACAAUGGGAAGAGUCAUGAAGAAGAUGAUAGCACAUCUUUGAAUUCCAUUAUGUUAGUUUACCUAAUUUAUGGUGUGUACUGCUUAGCGUGUUGAUUUUUACUGUUAAUAACAUAUACUAUUAGAUACAACAUAAAACUUACCACUUGGCUUCAUAACUUUAUGGACUCUGGAUGAAGGUUCUGAAAAGGAUACACAUAGUUAACGCUACAGUGUUCCAAAGAAAGUUACUGGUAUCUUGGCCAACAUUUUAAAAAUUGCAUGCCAAAAUUUAAGCUCCUGAGUCCAUAUAUAGGGACCUUGGGUUGGAUAAUGGGACUUGUGCUCCUAAAUCAUGUAGGUGAUUUUGAAAAUCCUGUCCAUUAGUAACUAGCAUGGUUUGCAUAAGUACUGAGCACACAACUGAAGUCAAUGUAUGAGUUUGAAAUCAGUGAGAGUUGCUUAGCAUUUCUGAAAAUCAAGUCACUUGUUUAGGUGCCUAAAUUUGUACUUAGGAGCCUAAUUUGAGGCCUCCACUUUUGAAAAAUCUUUGUCUAAAUUGCUGGAGAUUUAUUGCUCUAUUAGAAACAUUUGGUGAGAUUUGUAAUUUAGUGCUGGUUGAAAGUAUAAGCAUUGAGUGUUCCAAACAGGACCAUUCAGUUACUAUUUCACAUUGUCAAUGUAAUCUUACACCUUGGAAACAUUUUAUAGAGAGAUUCUCUUGAAAAACAACUGAAAAUCUUUAAUGAUUUGAUUGUUUCUCAGUGGUAAUUGUUGCUUUAUGUUAACUCACUACAUCAAUAUCCUUGCAAACUAUACUUAAAUGACUUGGUAUAAACUGAAUAUUACAUUUCUCUGAUCUACUUGAUCACUGUCUCUUAAUAUUUAAUUAAGUAGUUGAAGAUAGACAUAAAAAGUUAGGAUGCAAAACUGGUCAAACUAUGUAAACAUUUUAACUGCAUCAAGAAAAACAAUAAAUAACCAGGAAAGGUUAUUAAAGAUGAAAAAAGACCAACUGUACCAUUUAUCAAAUCUCUAGCCUUCAGAAGGCUGAUAGGAUUCUGAUUUUAAAACAACAGGCUUUAUGUAAUUAAGGUAAAAACAGGUUCCAAGGUAUUAAUUAUUCACCUUUUUAAAAAAUAAGCAUGUCCGUGUUACAUAAAGUACUUGGCUUUCUGAUAUAUGCAUAAAUAAAUAAAUAAAUACACACCCACAAACAUCCAUUGUUUUUUAAAGUUUGCAGUUUGGAUUUUAUGGUAAUGUAAUAAAAUCAUAUGGCACAUAUACCAUAAGACUAUCAACAAACCUGUUAAAAGAUACCUGUAUUUUUUCUCUACCCAAUCCAUGAGUGUUUUACUAUGGCUUUAAAAUCUCACUUUGCCAUUGCACUUGGCAAUAUGCAUCCUAGUUGUGGAAAUAUGCAGCUUCAUUUGAAACCCACUGUCAGCUCACGAAAAAAUUUAGCUGUUAAGUA